UACGUAGGGAGCAAGCGUUGUCCGGAAUCAUUGGGCGUAAAGCGCGCGUAGGCGGCCCUGUAAGUCCGUUGUGAAAGUCAAAGGCUCAACCUUUGAAAGCCGAUGGAUACUGCAGGGCUAGAGUCCGGAAGAGGCGAGUGGAAUUCCUGGUGUAGCGGUGGAAUGCGCAGAUAUCAGGAGGAACACCAAUAGCGAAGGCAGCUCGCUGGGACGGUACUGACGCUAAGGCGCGAAAGCGUGGGGAGCGAACAGGG
rnacentral:rRNA from 1 species